rnacentral:lncRNA from 1 species
UUUUUUUUUUUUUGGGUUAAAAUUUUUAUGUUUUUAACUUGGAGUUGAUGGCGUUUGGUCGAAUUAAUAAUUAAAGGGUAUUUUAGGAAUAAUGGUGGGUGGAAAAGUAGGAUUGGCAAAAAUAAUGCAUCCAACUAAGUCAACCAAAAUAAUUGCAUCGAAUUAAUGAUGUUCUUGGAAUAUUGAUACAAAACAAACUAGGUGUUAAAAAAUAUUUAAUAUCUGAGUAUGACCUAUGAUGACAAAGACUAAUCGUCACAAUCAUGGCGAUUAUUCAAAAGGUGUAACAUCUCUGACCCAAUGUAAUCGAUUUAAUCCAAUUUAAUUCUUUUGUGAAAUUUCAAUUUUGUCCUUGGGAGUAGGGGUACUUUGAUCACUUGAAGAAGAAAAAAUAUUUAUUGUAUGGCAUUACAUAAUGGUGUAAGUUUGUGUUAGCUUAUGUGAGGCCCCAAUUUAAGGUUUGCACAGGGCCUUCAAAAUCUCAAGACCGGCCCUGCAAAGUCAUAGAUAUACAUAUCGAACUAAAUAUAUUAAGUACAACAAACAAUUUGUUCAUCAUAAUAAUUGUAUUUUAUUUACUUUUAUUGGAUUAUUAAUAAAAUCAGUUUUUUAUUAUUUAAUUAUUAUAAAUAUGUUAUUAUUCAUAGAAGAGAAAAAUGAAUAAAAAGAAAAUAAGAUAGACUAAAAAAAGUUUAUUUAAUUUGAACUCACCCAAUAAAAAAUCAUUCAAUUAUAAAAAAUAAAAAUAAAAUAGAAUAAAUCAUACUUUCAUACAAUAUCUUAUCUUUUUCAAUGUAGAAGUUGGUCUUCAUGGUAGCUUCAUUAGAAUAAUUGUUUCUGGUUGAGGCGUGUGAUCACUAUUCUUAAAAGUAGAUUUCACCCAUCCGAGACAAUAUCUUAAUAAACACUCGCAACAUUUGGUUCAAAUGAACAACUUAAAUUUUUCCUUGAGAAAUAAACUAAAAAUUGAAAGAACAAUGCGAAGGAGGAGUACCACAAUGUAGAGGAGUGAGAAAAUUGUUCGAGUGUUGUUGCUCUAAUAGAAGGUUUAUAUAAUGUGUGCCUCCUUAGGCGUUAGACCAAUAAAAACACGUUUAAAAGUCUGCCGGUGUUGCAAAUAAAAUUCUUAUUUUUGCCGUUGAGGAGUUUACGUGCAACAUAUAAUAUGAACAUGCCACAUUAUGCAGUGUAAAAAUAUGAGAUAAAAAUGUAAUAAGUAUAGCAUUACUCUUUGAUAUACGGGAGCUGGCUAUUCAAUUGAGGCUAGGCAUUCAAAUUUCAAUAAAACUCCUGCACCUUUUUUCCUUUUUCUUUUUCAAACAAUAAAGGCAAUAACAGAGAUGAGAAUUCAGAUGAGUUUUAUUUAAUUUUGAAUCUCUGGAACUAUAUUCUCGUUUUGGGCCUAAAAGAGUCGGAGGACCUAUCGCACAUCCUGCACUGCAGCCCAUGCUCACAGAAGCCCAAUAGAGGCAGAAGCUGUCGGCAAUGUCAUUGCGCUUCUAGAGAGGAACGAACUGUUUAGCAUCCAUUGACCGCUCCCCUGCUCAACUGAAGUAAUGAUAUGAUUAUGGAUAAGCUUUUGAAUGGAAACCACACCAAUUUUCAAUUAUAUUCUCUUUGAUUUAAGAAUUAAAGGAUUUUUGAUUGGGUGAGUUCAAAUCAAAGAAAGUCUUGAUCUAUCUUAUUUUCUUUUUUAUUCAUUUUCUCUUCUAUGAAUAAACAUAUUUAUAAUAAUUAAUUAAUAAUAAUAAUAAACUGAAUUUGUUAAUAGCUCAAUCAAUAUAAAUUAUCCUCAAGAAUAAAAUGUUUAUUAAGCUUAAUUUAUUUAGUACGAUCCCUCUAAAUCUGAUCAAAUGAUCUGACAGUAACAAAACUCUGGUUAGAUGACCUAAAAAAAAAAAAAAAAACUCUUGAACAUAUGACCUCUUCAUUUGUAGUUUUUUUAAAGUUCCAUCGUCGCUUUUCAGGGCUAUCUUCUAAAUUUCUUCUUCAACGUGUCCCAGCGUGUCCACGAGGUCAUGGUCCAUGUGUGACAUACACUUCAACCAUCAUGUGAUAAUGUUUGUACACAACUUGAACUUGACAUGAAAUUAGCAAGUUCGGAUUAUGUUUUGUUUGACAUGAACACGAAUAUAACAUGACUAUUAAACAUGAAAAUAACAUAUCAAAUUAGUGUCAAACUUAGUAUGCUCGCCGAUCAAAUAAGAGGUUGCGAGUACAUGCUCCUCUGCCUUUUGUACACCAAUAUAUGCUUCACUCGUUUUUGGUACCCCUAAUACUUGUUGAUCAACUUUGAGAUCUAUUGCAAGCAUCAAAUCAUGUGGAAGCCUAGCACAUUAUGAACAAAUAUAUUCAUAAGAUGAUAUGUCAUUGAUGGGUGAUUAGAAAUGAAAUCCAGGUCAGAAUAGUCAACAAAUCAGGAAAAUGAAAGAAUCCCACUAGACACCUGAUCAGACCAAAUCACUGAAAGCAAAAUUUAAGGCCAAUAAUGGUCUGCAGCACUCCAAAUUUGACGAGGAGCAUGUAAUAUAUGUACCUGCAAAAUUGAAGUUCAACAAGAAAUCCCAAGAGAUAGCUAUGAAUUCCCACUUCCAUCUAUUGCCUCAUACGUUUGCCAUAAUAUUAUGUGUUAUUGUAAAUAUUUUUCCGACUAUAGACUCAGCCAUUGCAAGCAAUAUUUCCACAGACAAGGAGGCCUUGAUCUUAUUCAAGUCAGGGGUUAAUCUCCCCCCAUCUUUCUGGGACCAAAACUCAUCCCCCUGCUCCAACUGGACUGGAGUUGCAUGCAACCAAAUUGGGCAGACUCAGAGAGUUGUUUCUCUUGAUCUUUCAGGCUCGAAACUUGCAGGGACCAUAAACCCCCAUGUUGGUAAGUUGACAAAACUUCAAGUCUUGAAUUUAGCGCGAAACAAUCUCCAUGGUCCAAUCCCAUCAUCCAUAAGCAACCUCUCUGCCACCCUCACACAUUUAAAUUUAGGCACAAAUAGUCUCAGUGGUACAAUACCAAGGGAAUUGGGUUUCCUUUAUAAACUCAAGGAACUUGAUCUCUCUGUUAACCAACUCACUGGGACUGUCGCCCUUUCCAUAUACAACAUCUCCUCUCUAGUUUUGUUUACUGUAGCUUCAAACCAACUGUGGGGUGAGAUUCCAAGCAAUAUUGGUCACACACUUCCAAAUCUUCUAGACUUCAGAAGUUGUUUUAAUCUAUUGACCGGAAAUAUUCCAGUGUCUUUGCACAAUGUCACCGGCAUUCGAUCAAUUCGAAUGUCCAACAACUUUCUUGAAGGAACGGUUCCACCAGGCCUGAGUAAUUUGCCAUUCCUUGAAACGUACAACAUUCGUUUCAAUCGGAUUGUAAGCUAUGGUGAUGAUGGUCUCAGUUUCAUUACUUCUUUGACAAAUAGCACCCGUCUAAAGUAUCUUUCCAUUGACGAAAAUCGUCUGCAGGGUGUAAUUCCAGAGUCCAUUGGCAAUCUCUCCAAGGUUCUCUCACAGUUAUACAUGGGAGGCAACCGAAUUUAUGGUAACAUACCAUUAUCAAUUGGUCAACUCAGUGGUUUAGCUUUACUAAAUGUAAGCUACAAUUCAAUUUCUGGUGAAAUUCCAUCAGAAAUAGACCAGCUGAAAGAGCUGCAAACGCUUGGUUUAGCAAGAAACAAAAUGUCCGGCCCAAUACCAAACUCCCUAGGUAAUCUCAGAAAGUUGAACCACGUUGAUUUAUCUGGAAAUUACUUUGUUGGCCAUGUACCCCCUACGUUUGCAAGCUUUGAGAGAUUGCUUUCCAUGGACUUAUCAAACAAUUUGCUCAACGGAACCAUUCCAAGAGAAAUUCUAAACCUCUCUAGUUUGAGCACCAUUCUGAAUUUGUCUAACAACUUUCUAAGUGGACCUUUGCCUGAAAUUGGGUUACUACAAAAUGUUGUCACUGUAGACCUCUCUGACAAUGCCUUAUCUGGAUCCAUUCCCAGCUCAUUUGCAAAGUGUACAAUCUUGGAGGAGUUGUUCAUGGCCAGAAAUAAUCUCUCUGGUUCUCUUCCAAAUGCCCUGGCAGAAAUGAGAGGUCUUGAGAUUCUAGACCUCUCCUCAAACCAGCUCUCUGGGUCCAUUCCUGAUGAACUUAAAGAGCUACAUGCCCUUAGCUACUUGAACCUCUCCUUUAAUCACUUGGAAGGAGUAAUUCCUAAUGGUGGAGUAUUUGUUAAAAAUACCUCUAAUGUCCAUCUAGAAGGCAACCCAAAACUUUGCCGGGACGGACCAUGUGGGAAGAGUGGCAAUCAGAGGAGAAAAGUACUGGUCCUAGUACUCAUCAUUGCUGCUGCUUUGGUUACACUAGCAGUAUGUACUGCGGUUGGUUGUUUGCUUUAUUUUAGGAAACACAAAGGCUCCGGCUACGAAGCAACAAGUAGAGAAACUAGAUCUUCUGACUUAUUAAAUGGGGAGCAUCAAAUGGUCACAUAUGAAGAGCUACGUGUGGCAACUGGUAAUUUCAACCAGGAAAACUUGAUUGGAAGUGGGGGCUUUGGGUUUGUGUAUAAAGGGUAUUUAAGAGAAGGAAUUGAAGUCGCAGUGAAAGUGCUUGAUGUACAAAUUAAAGGCUCCUGGAAGAGCUUUUUGGCGGAGUGCGAGGCGCUGAGGAGUGUGAGGCACAGAAAUCUUGUUAAGCUGAUCACAUCAUGCUCCAGCUUGGACUUCAAGAACAUGGAGUUUCUGGCUUUGGUUUAUGAGUAUCUGAGUAAUGGGAGCUUGGAAGACUGGAUAAACGGCAAGAGAAAAAAUGCAGAUGGAGAUGGAUUGAACAUUGUGGAGAGACUGAAUGUGGCCAUUGAUGUUGCUUGUGGAUUGGACUAUUUGCAUCAUGACUGUGAAGUUCCAGUGGUGCACUGUGAUUUAAAGCCCAGCAACAUUCUCUUGGACACAGAUAUGACCGCAAAGAUUGGAGAUUUUGGACUAGCUAAGUUGCUGAUGGGGAGAACAAUGAGCACUCAACAUUCCCUUAGCUCCACAAAUUUCCUAAAGGGUUCUAUUGGAUACAUACCCCCAGGUUAGUACUAAUCAAACUGCCCUCUUUUGAUUAGGGCCAUCUGGUAACGUUUUCAGAGAAUGUUUUUUUAGAAUAUUUCAAAUAAUGAAAACAAGAAAACAAAUUUGUAUUUUCAGGAAAUGAAAAUACGUGUGGUAAAUUAAUUAGAAAACAUCUUCAGAAAACAAAAACAAUGAAAACGUGUUUGGUAAUACAAUUUGAAAUAAUAAUAUGUGAGUUAUUUUUAUGAAAACGUUUCCCAUGAGAAUGAAAACAACUUUUUUUUUCGUUUUCUACAAGUACACAUGAACUUGUUUUCAUUUUAUGAAAACAUUCUCAAUGUUUUCUGUUUUUGCCUCAUUUUGUUCUCUGAAAAUAAAAACAACCCCUUAAAACAUUACUUAAUGAGGCCGCAAUUGAUAUAACUUUGGUGGUCAUUACUUCAAAUAAUUCAGUUCUGAAUUAUUUCCACUCUUGAAAAGUUAUUUAGUUAGGUUCAAUAUUUCAUGAUCUUCCAUCAUACUAAGUUAUCAUUUUUCAAAAAAAAAAUUAGUGUUUUGUGUCAAGUUCUAAUUUACAGUACAUGCUACAUUAUCGAAAUUUUAUGCAUGGUGGCAUUGAUGUUUGAUCAAUAUUCGUAACAUCGAUUAAGUAUUGUUAAUGUAUCAAGUAUUGUAGAUUGAUAAUCGGUAGCAAUUAAUAUCACCAUGUAUUGGUUGGUCAUAUAGUAUGCUGACUUUGAGAUUGAACUACAAUGUAGAGUAUGGGUUUGGACAAAAACCAUCGACAGCAGGAGAUGCAUACAGUUUUGGUGUAAUGCUGUUGGAGCUCUUUACUGGGAAAAGCCCAACCCAUGAAAGAUUCACAGGGGACCAAAACCUCAUCAAAUGGGUGCAGUCAAGUAUCCCUCACAACAUGACCAAAGUGAUAGACUCUCGGAUGCUAGACUAUCUGCCCAAUGAAGACCCAAGAACCAUCCCAGAACUAGAACGUAAUUGCUUGAUCUCAAUUCUGGAGGUUGGCCUCUCUUGCAGUUGUGCCUUGCCUGAUGCCCGCAUUAGCCUGAGGGAAGCCCAUUACAAACUGGAAACUGCUAGACAGACCCUUUCCAGUGUUAGUCACGUGGAGAGUGUUAAGCAUUAACUUGAACAACAAUUGCAUGUUGUUGAAUGUAGAAAUUAUAAUAAGUUAACAGUUUGGAUAGUGAAAUUGGCUAUAAAGCCUGAACUUUUGGGUUUAAUUUUGAUUAUGGGUAUAGUAGUUGUGUGAAUUGUCUAAAUUAGGGCUUAUUAAUGUUUUGUCAAUGGGGGAUCAGGUUUACCGUGAAUAAUGGGUUGUUGUCAAAUAACAUCACAAGAACUCUUCCUAAAAAUCUCAGUCACUUGACAAAUCUUCAAGUGUUGAAUAUGGCACGAAACAAUCUCCAUGGUCCAAUCCGGCUUUCCCUUCUAUUGAUUCUCUUGACUUGCGAGCUAUAUUUUUUUAAUAUUAUAUUUAAAUGGUAUAGCCGUGCGGCUAUACUAUUUAAAUAUUCGAAUGUAUUUAAAGGGUACAGGCUGCACAAUUUAAAUUAAAAAGUAUAGCCGCGCGGCUAUACUAUUUAAAUAUUUAAAUAUAUUUAUGUCAGCUGUAUCCGAAAAGCUUUCUUCCUUGCUGUGAAAAUGUUGGGUUGAACUCUCCGAGUAUUAGGGUUUACAAAAAAUGCAUGUGAGAUUUCAGAUCACUCUCACUGCGUUGAGCAAGAAAAUGGGUCUCUGCUCUCUCUCUCUCUCUGGAGAAGACUGCGAGCAAGUCAUCCCCUUUUUUGAGCUUAUAAAAAUAGUCCCUCAUAAAUAAUUUUAAACAGUGCGUUUUCAGAGAUUCCUUUAAACAAAUUAAGAAUGACCAUUUUUCCUUUUUUUGUAUUUGGAAAGUUAAAGUAAUGGGAAUGCGUGGGGAUUAGGUGUAAAUAAAAGGGUGUCUAACAGGAAGGAAAAAAAAAAAGUUUAGCACUUAAAUAAACUAUACAUUAAGGUUUGAAUUUAAAUUAGUAGUUGUAGACUUGUAGUAAAGAAGAAAUAAUUAUAAUUUUUUUUCAAUGAUACUAUUUGUAGCACCUAUCUUUCCUCUCCGAUUACAAGUCUCAUCUUCUUUGAUGUUGACUUGAGAGAAAUUACGUGAAGUUAUUGAGAUGAGUGAAAAUAAUAUUUUAAGUUGAAAAGUCUUCCCCCAACAUUAGUGCGCUUUGUUGCAACUUGUAGGUUUGUGAAAAGUUUAUCUACACGGUUGUGUCUUGGGGACGUAUGUAUGUGCGAUGAACGAGUUUGAGGACUUGACAAAUAUCUUUCCCUUAGACUUGUUUCAGUCAUAGAAAUGACCAUUUCCCAUUAGGCUGCAACUAACUAAUUCAAAGGGGAGGGGAUGGAGUGGAGAUGGGUCAACAGAUAAUACGAUACGAAGGAGAAAAUGAAGCCAACACAACCCACUUGAGACUUUUUUUUUCUUGUUUACCAAAUAAAUUAAACAAAAGCUGCUAGUGGAACACAAAAGCUUAUAAAUAUCACAUCACCUAUUCCAUUUCCAAGACUUGUAAAACAGAAACAAACCAAGAGAAGAUAUAUGGGCUACCUGUAUUUCUUGUAUUCAUAUUUGUGAGCGUUGAGCCAAAAUUCAAGUUCAACGUUGGACAACCAGAAAUAAGGUAGCAUAUAUACAGUACCGAUCAAGGAUUCGGGCUUAUAAAUUUGUCUUAUUCCAUCAGAGUUCAAAAACAGAAAAAGAAAAAAGAAACCUAAGAGAUAUGGUUUCCCAAUUCCAUCUAUUGCCUCAAACAUUUGCCAUUAUAUUCUCUCUUCUUCUAUGCAUAUUUGUGAGCGUUGAGACAGCCAGACCAACGCCAAGCAUUGCCACGGACAAGGAGGCUUUGAUCUCAUUCAAGUCAGGGGUCAGUCUCCCUCCAUCUUUUUGGGACCAAAAUUCAUCUCCAUGCACCAACUGGACUGGAGUUGUUUGCAACAAACUUGGCAACAGAGUUGUUGCUCUUCAUCUUUCCGGCUUGGGACUUACAGGCUCCAUUAGCCCCCAUAUUGGUAACCUCUCCUUCCUCCGUUCCCUUCAACUUCAAAAUAACAAAUUAACAGGAAACAUUCCCUCUCAAAUUCUCCACCUUUUCCGCUUGACAUCUCUAAACUUGAGCUCCAACACCAUACAAGGUCCCCUGCCAUCAAACCUGACCCAAUUGACUGCCCUCCAAACACUUGACCUAGCCUCAAAUAACAUCACAGGAACACUUCCUGAAAAUCUCAACAGCUUGAAAAAUCUUCAAGUCUUGAAUUUGGCACGAAACAGACUCCAUGGUCCAAUCCCACCAUCCAUAAGCAACCUCUCUUCCACCCUCACACAUUUGAACUUAGGCACAAAUAGUCUCAGUGGUACGAUACCCAGUGAAUUGGGUUUCCUUUACAAACUCAAGGAACUUGAUCUUGCAGGUAACCAACUCACUGGGACUGUUGCCCUGUCCAUAUACAACAUCUCUUCUCUACUUCUCUUCACUGUAGCUUCAAACCAACUGUGGGGUGAGAUUCCAAGCAAUAUUGGUCACACACUUCCAAAUCUUCUAUACUUCAGAAAUUGUUUUAAUCUAUUCACCGGAAAUAUUCCAGUGUCUUUGCACAAUAUCUCCGGCAUUCGAUCAAUUCGAAUGUCCAACAACUUUCUUGAAGGAACGGUUCCACCAGGCCUAGGGAAUUUGCCAUUCAUUGAAAUGUACAACAUUGGUUUCAAUCGGAUUGUUAGCUACGGUGGUGAUGGUCUCAGUUUCAUCACUUCCUUAACAAACAGCACCCGUCUCCAAUUCCUUGCCAUUGAUGGUAAUCAUUUAGAGGGUGUAAUUCCAGAGUCCAUUGGAAACCUGUCCAAGGUUAUCGAAAAAUUGUACAUGGGAGGGAACCGCAUUUUCGGUCACAUACCCUCCUCAAUUGGUCAACUCAGUAGCUUGACUUUGCUGAAUGUAAGCUAUAAUUUGAUCUCUGGCGAAAUCCCACCUGAAAUAGGCCAGCUGGAAGAAUUGCAAGUGCUUAGUUUAGCUGCAAACAAAAUGUCUGGUCAUAUUACAAACUCCUUAGGUAAUCUCAGAAAGCUGAACAACAUUGAUUUAUCCAGAAAUUCCUUUGUUGGCCAUAUACCCCCUUCCUUUGCAAACUUUCAGAAGUUGCUUUCCAUGGACUUAUCCAACAAUUUGCUCAAUGGAAGCAUUUCUACAGAAAUAUUUCAAAACCUCCCUAGUUUGAGCACCAUUCUGAAUUUGUCUAACAACUUUCUGAGUGGUCCUUUGCCUGAAGAAAUUGGGCUCCUAGGAAGUGUGGUCACUAUAGACCUCUCAGACAACCGCUUGUCUGGAUUGAUCCCCAACACAAUUGGAAAGUGUACAAGCUUGGAAGGAUUGUUGAUGGCGAGAAAUAAACUCUCUGGUCCUCUUCCUAAUGUUCUUGGAGAUAUGAGAGGUCUUGAGAUUCUAGACCUCUCCUCAAACCAGCUUUCUGGGUCCAUUCCUGACAAACUUGAAGACCUACAGGUCCUGAGCUACUUGAACCUCUCCUUUAAUCACUUGGAAGGAGUAAUUCCUAAAGGUGGAAUCUUUGUUAAAAAUAGCUCUAGUGUCCAUCUUGAAGGCAACCCAAAGCUUUGCCUGCAUUCGUCAUGUGUGAAUCCUGGCGGUCAUAGGAGAAAAGUACUGAUCCCAGUUCUUAUUUCGACUGUUUUGGCAACAUUGGCAGUAUGUGUCAUAGUUGGUUGUUUGCUCUAUGUCAGCAAAAGCAAAGCAAGAGUUACAGAAACUAAUUCUGAUUUGUUAAUAAAAGGGCAGCAUCAAAUGGUUACAUAUGAAGAGCUACGUGGCGCAACUGGGAAUUUUAGCACGGAAAAUUUGAUUGGAAGCGGGAGCUUUGGGUCUGUAUACAGAGGGUGCCUAAGAGAUGGAAUUGAAGUAGCAGUUGGAAAGUUGAGAAACCUAGCAAGGGUUUAUAAGGAGUUGGGUUACUCCCCCCAUUGCCAAUUGGUUUUGGGGUGGAACCUCAACUUCCUUCAUGGUAUCAGAGCGGGUUGCCCACGUGUGAAAGCCCAACGGCCACACGUGCUCCACGUCACCCAAAAUGUGUUGUCCACGUGUUAGGUUUGAAAAUUCGCCACACGUGCGGGGGCGUGUGAGAAUGUGAAGGUAAAGAGUCCCACAUUGGAAAGUUGAGAAACCUAGCAAGGGUUUAUAAGGAGUUGGGUUACUCCCCCCAUUGCCAAUUGGUUUUGGGGUGGAACCUCAACUUCCUUCAGUAGUGAAGGUGCUUGAUAUGAAAAGGACAGGAUCGUGGAAGAGUUUUUUGGCAGAGUGUGAGGCCUUGAGGAGCGUGAGGCAUCGCAAUCUUGUCAAACUGAUCACAUCAUGCUCCAUCUUGGACUUCAAGAACAUGGAUUUUUUGGCUUUGGUGUAUGAGUAUCUGAGUAAUGGGAGCUUGGAAGAUUGGAUUCAGGGUAAGAGAAAGAAUGCUAAUGGAGAUGGAUUGAACAUUGUGGAGAGACUGAAUGUGGCCAUUGAUGUUGCUUGUGGAUUGGAUUAUCUGCAUCAUGAUUGUGAAGUUCCAGUGGCGCACUGUGAUUUAAAGCCCAGCAACAUUCUUUUGGACAGAGAUAUGAUUGCAAAGAUUGGAGAUUUUGGGCUGGCCAAGUUGCUGAUAGAAAGAACAAGCAAUAACGUUCUCAGCUCCACAGAUGUGCUAAAGGGUUCCAUAGGAUAUAUGCCACCAGGUCAGUAUUAAGUUCUCAUUUGAAGUAUUUGGUUUACCUUAUAUGUCAAGUUAGCUAUGUUUUAUGAUUGUUUUUUUUCUUUUUCUUCUAGUUUGUUUGGUUUAUUAAGAAUGAACUAUGAUGCAGAGUAUGGUUUUGGACAAAAGCCAUCGACGGCCGGAGAUGCAUACAGUUUCGGAGUAGUGUUGUUGGAGCUGUUUACUGGGAAAAGCCCAACCCAUGAAAGUUUCACAGGAGACGAAAACAUUAUCAGAUGGGUGCACUCAGCCUUCCCUCAAAACAUUGCCCAAGUACUAGACUCUGAGCUGCUACACCUCAUGCAGCAUCCGCCCAAUGAAUUAGAACGUAAUUGCCUGACUUCAAUUAUAGAGGUUGGGCUAUCUUGCACCUCUGCUUCGCCUGAGGGACGCAUUAGCUUGAGGGAUGCCCUCCACAAACUUGAAGCUGCUCGGCAGACCCUUUUCAAGCAUACUCAUGUUGAGACUGAGAGUGCCAAGCAUGAAUUUUAACUACAAACUGGAAAUUGCUUGCAUGUUUAUUUAUGUACUAAUUAAUAGUAUGUUAUAAUAUAUAAUUGAGUGUCGCAUUUCCCUUAUUCGCUCAUCUUAGCGACCAAUACUCAUGUGCCUCAACUGUUAUAUAUGACCCAAAACCAGUUGGGGAGGCCUACCCCACACCCUGCAGCCCAUGCUCAUAGCAAGCCCAAUAGAGGAAGAAGCUGUCACAAGGAAAUUGCCUUCUCGAGAGGAAUGAACUGCAACUGUACACAAGCAUCAAUUGACAGCUCCUUACCUUACCUCCUUUACUAAACUGAACUGAAAUGGCAAGCAAAAAUGUCAGCCUGUCCACGAGGUCAUGGCCCAUGUGUAACACACACUUCAGCCAUCAUGUGAUUUUUUUUUACACAAGUCAAAAUUGACAUGAAGCUAAUAAGUUCCAAUUAACUUUUAUUUGACACCAACACAAAUAUGACAUAAUAUGUUAAAUAAAAAAUAACGUAUCGAAUUAGUGUUAAACUUAAUAUGCUUGUGGAUGAAAUAAGACAUUAUAAACCACAAGGUGUAGUGCGAUUAAUAAACUGUUAUCUUUAAUUGGCGAGUUACCUGAUGCUUUAAUGACAAGAGUUUGAAACUCGUUGGAAGUAUUUUGUGACCAGGAACAAGCCGAACCCCGAGUAGGGAUUAAUCCCACCAUAUGAGUGUGAGGACACCUCAUGAUAUUUACCAAAGAAAUAAGACAUUACGAGUACAUGCAUAUACAUUUGAGUACUCCUCUAUAUUUUGUACAUCAAAUAUAGACUUAUUUACAUCAAUGUCCCUUGAAAUUACAGUCAAAUCUCAUUUUACUUCCCAAAUUUAAAGUGGCACACUUACUCCGCUUGACCAUGGUUUGAUGACCCACUUUGUCUCAUGCCGUUAACUCCAUCCAAAACUCUAUUAAAAUUGAUGACGUGGCAUGAGUGUUUGUGUAAUUUUGUACCAAUGAUUCAUUAUUCACCAAUUGAGGGGUGACGUGUCAAGUGGAGUCCACCUCCACAUGGAUAAAAAUAUAAUUAAAUAUUCUAAUAUUUAAAACUAAUUUAAAAUUUAAAAUAAAACAUUAAAAAAUUUAGAACCAACAAAAUUCUCUCUCUCUCUCUCUCUCUCUCUCACCCAGAUCCCACCCACACCCAUCCCCCUACCCAGCCGCACCGACCAUCGCUCCCUCUCCUUCUCCUUUCUUCAACAACCAUGAAAAAUAAUUAUUAAAAAAAAAAAAACAUGCAAGUCAUCAUCUCCCCUUCGUACCUUCCUCCUUCUCCUUCACCUCCACCUUCCACCUUCCACUCCCACUCCAUCAUGGGAAACAAAAGGCUAUGUGGUGGUAUACUUCUGCUAGGAUUGCCGCAACGCCGAUGCAUCUCCAAUCAAUCUAAGCAAGAACCUAAGACAGAAUUAUUUCCAUGGCGGAAAGUACUUACAUCAAUUGCUAUUGGGGGAGUUAUUGGACUUGGCUUACUCUUGUGCUUUGUGCUUCUUUAUUUAUCAAAAAAAGCAUUGCUCUCUGUGCUUCUUUAUCCAUCAAGAAAAGCAAGAGUGAAGCCAACUUCAGGAUCAGCAUGGGGGGUUUCACUCUUGAAAGUGUCAUAUGCAGAUCUCCUCAAAGCAACUGAUGGUUUGUCUUCUCGGUAUUUGAUUGGUGCUGGUAGUUUUGGUUCUGUGUACAGGGGAAUUCUCAAUGAGGAAGAAAGAAGAAAUUGUUGCAGUCAAAGUACUCAAUGUUCAGAGUUCAAGAGAGCUUUAUAGCUGAAUGUGAAGCCUUGAAAAACAUUAGGCACCGAAAUCUUGUCAAACUAUUGACCGCGUGUGCAAGUAUCCAUUUUCAAGGAAACGAUUUCAAAACUUUGGUUUAUGAAUUCAUGAUGAAUGGUAGUCUAGAGGAGGGGCUGCACAUUUCAGCUAGCAGAGUAGCUGGGGCAUUUUAAUCCCAAAUCCAAAAUGGCAGCCUACAAAUGCAUACAAUUUAAAAACCCAAAAUUGCCCCAUACAACUUUGACUCCCAAACAAUCGCGCCCCACCCCAAGAUCUUCUCGGGUCAACCCCAGAAAAUCAGAUCUUGCUCCCACCCUGUCGUUGUCGACUUCUUUAUUUUUGGCAAAUUUUAAAUUGGGGAUUUUGGGGGCAAGCUCAAUCCACUGUCGUGCUAAGUGAUUGAAGGUGCUGGGUGGGGUUGGGUUUGUGGAAGGGGAUGGUGGAGUGGUGGCGACUGUAGAUGGGUGUGGGUUGGGUUUGGGGUGCAGAGAUGAGAGGAUAGGAGGAAGAUUUUUUAGUUUUUCUUUUAAGUUUAUUUUUAAUUUUUAGUUAUUAAGUAUUUAAUUAUUUUUUAAUCUAUAUGGAGGUGGCCUCCACUUGCCAUAUCACCCACUCAAUUGGUGAAUAAUGAAACAUAAGUCCAAAAUUACACAAACACCCAUGCCACAUCAUCAGUUUUAACAGAGUUUUGAAUGAAGUUGACAACAUGGGAUAAAGUAGGUUACCAAACCAUGAUCAAGAGGAAUAAGUGGGCCACUUUAAGUUUGGGAGGGCAAAGUGAGAUUUGACUAUAGUUUUAAGAGGCAUUUAUGUAAAUAAGCCUCAAAUAUAUGCUUCACUUGUUUUUGGUACCCUCGGCUAAAAGCAAACUUGGAAUUUCAAGACACACUUCUUGGUGCCAAACAAGCACUGGUUAAAGCACUUCCACCCAUUUGUCAUGGCAAGAAAAGGAUUGUUAUUAUUUAUGUGAAUAGUAGCAGCCCUUGCAAAAGGCUUGAGGUAUUCCCACCCAUUGUCAUGGCAACCUAAGGGCAACCAUUAUUCACAUGAGAUAUGAGGAGAGGAAUUUGUAUAGAGUUUUGGUGUGAGAAGUGAAGAAUAUGACUAAGUAUUUAUUAAAAAAAAUUCUGAAAUAUUUUGUAUUUAAUUUUUUUUCGGUGUUGACUUCAUCACUGAUGUCAGCAAACCCAGACAAUGGCCCAUGUUAUUCUUGCCUUUGAGCUGACCCGGUUUGCUGAGACCCAGUUGGCAACUGUUGCCCUGACAGCUUAAGCCCGCUAGAAUGCCAAAAUGGGGCUUGGGCCCCUUCCUGCCCUGACAAGGGCUCACCAGUGGAAUUGCUAUUACAUACAACAAGCUACACAUCUAGAGGCCCAUUACCCAGCUUCCCAUUUUUCCCGAGUGUAGACUUAGCCAUUGCAAGCAUUAAAAAAACAAACUCAAUUUAUUAAUAACUCAAUCAAAAUAAAUGAAAUACAAUUUUCCUCAAGAACAUAAUGUUUCUUAUGCUUAAUACAUUUAGUUUGAUAUGUAUAUUGUGUAUAUGAUCAGAUGACUUGACAGUGACAAAACUCUGAUAACUGACGGUGACAAAAAAAAAAAAAAAAAAACUCUUGUCAUAUGAUGUUCUUAUCUUCCUCAUUUAGUUUUCUUCUGAUGACUUAUAUUUUGGUUCAUACAUGUAAUUAUAUUUUGAGGUAUAUAUGUGAGUGACAGAUAAAGAUUCAUCCUAUUUCUCUAUCAUAUUGGUUAUCUUCUCAUACAUGUAUCUUGCUAGGUUUCCCAACAUAACAAAAUAUAAAAGGAAAAGGUGCAAGAGUUAAUUUUUUGUUGUUGUAGAAGCUAGUUUAGGAAUAAAUUAAAUGAAUGGGGAGAGUGAAGCUUCAAAUUAAGAGGGAUUGAGAAUACGACUAAUAUAGACAAGUCAUUUUUCUCGAGGCUUUUCAAGAAAGCCUAUGAACUCUCUGUUCUUUGUGAUGUUGAUGUAGCUUAGCUCUUAUCAUGUUUUCUCCAUAUGAGAGACUCAAUUUUUUCUAUGACCAUAAAAGAUGAUCAUCUGGCUGCUUCUAUAUACAUGAUUAAUCUUUUAAAAGCUGCUCAAGUAUUGUAGGUUGAUAAUCGGUAGCAAUUAAUUACUAUGGUUGGUUUUAGUUUGCUGAUUUAGAUUGAACUACAAUGUAGAGUAUGGUUUUGGACAAAGAACCAACGACAGCAGGAGAUGCAUACAGUUUUGGUGUAAUGUUGUUGGAACACUUUACUCUAAUUGAUUGAUUUCAAUUGUUGACCUGAGGUUGGGCUCUCUUGCAUCAGCUUUCAGGGAAGCGCUGCUAGACCUACACCGUUUUCAAUUUUGGCCACGUUGAGAGUGUUAAGCUUUAAUUUGAACAACAAUUGCAUGUUAAUGUAUAAAUUAUAAUAAAUUAACAACUUAUCAUAAUAAUAAACGUAAUUAGUAUACCCCAUGUAACGGAGACGGAUUCAGGAUUUGAAAAUAGGGCGGGCUAAAUUUAUCUUACAUACAAACUUAGAAAACUUGUACGAGUGAAUUUCAUUGAAGUAUGAAUUUUAAGGUCAAUUAACAAUUACAUGAUAAACUUCUCCAUGAAAGGAAAAUAAUUGAAAGCAUUUAUUAUCCAUUAUAAAAGAAGAAGAAGAAAAAAAAAAAGAACCAUUUUAAUCCAUCCAACGCAACUUGAAAAAUAAAAAUGAGAAGAAGUAGCCAAAAUUUAUAAGGAAAAAAAAUGAAUUGACGUUUUAUGUACACUAGAAAAGGUUAAAAAAAAAAAGAGAUUUUCUGUGGGCGGGAUCACUAGGAUGGGGUGUGUGGAGUGGAGGUGUACUUUGGUGAGCUGAGUAUUAAUAUUGGACUAUAAAAUAUCAAGUCACCGAAACUAUAGCUCAUGUUAGCAUGGACGUAGGACCGUCCCUGUCAUAUAAUAAGCGAAAUAAAUUUGCGUUAUAUCUUGGUUAAUACAGCGAUUUUGGUAGAUGCACAACUUGUCUUUAAAAUAUUUCCUUCUUAUUACUUAUUUACCGAUUAAUUUCUAAAAAUUAGAACUCAAAUUAGUAUCAUACGAAAUCAUUUCAUAAAUAACACCAUUGAAAUUAUAUUUAUGUGAUGAAGCAUAAUUGUCAUUGCCCAUAUGUGGAUUAAAUAAAAAGAAAAAAACAUCAACAACCAGAAGGGUAAGCAAAAUGUUUAGUGUUUGUUUGUGCUUUGGGUUGACUUGAUUUUGAUGUUUUGGGUUGAACUUAAAAUUUGAGAGUCCAAAUUGAAAUCAAAAUAUCAGUUUCCAAAGAAAGCCGAAGCCAAAACUAUCCCGCCCAAGUAUCAAACCAAAACACCUAAAAAGGGACCCGCCUAGUACCAAAUCUUUAUGCCCCAAAUGAAAAUACGAAAGUUUCAAACUUUUUAACCCAAACAUUUUUCAGACCCAAAAAAAAAAAAAUCAGUUUAGAUUGACUAAGCGCGCAAUUUUAACUUCAAAAAAAAUAAAACGACCCAAAAUUUUCAAAUUUGGUUCAUCGAAAAUAAAAGUCACGUGGAAACCCGGCCCCACACAGAAAAAUUCCCAAAAUUUCAAUUUUGUCCAGGGGAACGACAAAACGCUCCAAAAAUAAUAGAAAACAAAAUAAAACGCUCCAAAAUCCAAAAUCCCCAAAUUUUAGCUGCAACUAAAAAAUUCACGUCAAAUCAAACAGCGCCAAAAGCACAAAUUUUCGAAGCAGAGUUGAGCAUGGCGCUCUAUUUUCUCUCUCAAAACUUCAAAACCCACCCUCUCUUUCAUUCUCACUACAUAUUGCCAUCACCGCUCAGAGUCUUACACCUCAAACUCUGCGCUUUGCUUUCUCUCUCUAUCUCUCUCACAGUCCAACCCGAGCCACGACAUCAAGUAAAGACCAAAGCUCGACCAGUGCAGAGCAAUGGCUUCUACCACCGUGGCCGAGCAACUGAACUGCACUCGCAUCACUACUCGUGCUGCGGCGAAGCGGAGGGCGAUGGCCGCCUUGGUUGAGGAGCAUCAGCUGGCUACCAAGAAGCGCGCGGUGCUUGGAGAUGUUACGAACUUGGUCAACGUCGUCGUUUCGGCCAACCACAAAUCUUAUGGUGAGUUGCAGAAACCGAAUUGUGCAAUCAAGAAGGAGGAGAAGAAAGCCGUAGCAACACGUGACAUUGAGGAUCCGCAACUGUGUGGACCUUAUGCUUCGGACAUUUAUGCCUAUCUUCGUAGAAUGGAGGUGCACAGAUCCCAUCUUUGUUUCUUCAGAUUUUGAUUUCUUCAUUUGAUAAUCAGAACGGUCUUGGACUUUUCAACUUAAAAUUGAUAUUGGGAAAAAGGUUUUUGGUUUCAAUUUUGAUAGUGAAAUUGGCUAUAAAGCAUUAAGAUCCAAUUGGUAGGAUUUUGGGUUUAAUUUUGAUUCUGGGUAUGGUAGUUUUGUGAAUUCUCUAAAUUAGGGUUUAAUGUUUUGUCAAUUGGGGAUUAGGCUCACCGUGAAUAAUGGGUUGGUUUCUUUAGGUGGAACCAAAGAGAAGGCCGUUGCCUGAUUACAUGGAGAAGGUUCAGAAAGAUGCUAAUGCUAAUAUGAGAGCGGUCCUUGUGGAUUGGCUUGUGGAGGUUGCAGAGGAAUAUAAGCUCCUUCCAGACACGCUUCAUCUCUCCGUUUCUUAUAUCGAUAAGUAUCUAUCGAUCAAUGUGGUCAAUAAGCAGAAGCUUCAGCUAUUGGGAAUUGCUUCAAUGUUCAUUGCAUCGUAAGCUCACAAAUCUUUGAAUCUGUCGUCUGAUUGGUACAACUGUUUUACUUCUGAUGAUGAUGUGAAGUUACUGUAAGUAUUAUUCUUACAUUUUCAUGAUUUCUUAAUUUAUAGGAAAUAUGAAGAGAUUACUCCUCCAAAUGUGGAUGAGCUCUGUGACAUAACAGAAAAUACGUAUACAAAAGAAGAGGUAUUUGACGUUUUACUUGGGGUUUUAUCCCUGAAAAUGAUCUAUUUAUACCUCAGAUAGAUGCAUUUGCUUUAUACUAAGAGUAAAUUUUUCGGUGGGUUGUAAAGGUGAUCAAGAUGGAAGCCGACAUUCUCAAGUCCCUGAAAUUUGAAAUGGGCAAUCCUACUACUCGGACAUUCUUAAGGUAAGGAUGUGCUGACAAUGAAAACACUCUGUUUUGGUUGGGUAAUGUAAUUACUUGCCAAGCUUAAAUGACUUAUGACUGAUUGUUUUUGUUCCUUUGAUGAAUUGUUUUGCAGAAAAUUCACUGAUAUUGCUCAAGAGAAUUACAAAGUAAGCUUCCCCCUUCCCUCUCACACACACACACACACACAUGUGGGCUUACCAAGUUUAUAGUCUCUCAUACUGACUGCUUUAUUGUUUUGUGUGGUUUACAGACUCCCAAUUUGCGGUUAGAGUUCUUGGUUUGCUACCUUGCUGAGCUGAGUUUAUUGGAUUACAAACUUGUGAAGUUCCUGCCUUCUUUGGUAGCUGCAUCAGUUGUUUUUCUGGCACGAUUUAUGACUAGAACAAAAAUACAUCCUUGGGUAAGGGUUUGAUAAAUUACUUGUGCUGAUUUUGAUGUCUGAAAGCAAUUACUAAGUCGUAUCGUAUCCAUUUCAGUGUCCAGCCCUGCAACAGUAUACUGGAUAUAAAGCAGCUGAUUUGAAAGAAUGUGUUCUUGCCAUACAUGACAUGUGCUUGGGUAGAAGAGCACGAAAUUUGAAUGUUAUUCAAGAGAAAUACAAACAACUUAAGGUAUUGUUUAUCAGAAGUAGGUUUGACCUUUUCUUAUUUUCCAAAUUUUAGAAAUGCAAAACAUGGUUCUAAUGGAGUCCUUUUCCUUUAACGCAGUUCAAAUGUGUGGCACACACUCAUUGCCCUCAAGAUAUACCAGCUUCUUUAUUUGAGGAUCUGAAAACAUGAAAGUACAAUCCUUGUAGCAAGGGCUUGUCCAAUGUGAUAGUAAGAUCUGGAUAUAAGUUUUAUUGGGUGUGCUUGAUUGAUUGGAGGGUUGAUGGCGAUGGCUGAUGGUGUUUGCCAAUUGCUAUUGGGUGAGGAUGGGGCAUCAUUCUGCUUUGCGCCAGAUUACAACUUGAUUGACCUUUGUGUUGGAUUUCUGGGAAGCAGCUGGUUCUAUAUUAUCAUUCAGCAAAUACACUUCAGCUAGCGCAGAUCAAAACUGAGUAAGCUGUGAUGCAGGGUAUGGUCUAGUGGUGAACCAAAUGAGCUGACCCAAAGGGUAGCACUUAAGCAGACUGAUGCUGUAAACUUUCCACCCGAUGUGGUGCAAUUGCAACGAUGGGUGCAUGGCAUCUAAUCGUAGUGUGCCAACAAAGAAAAUAUACAUGAUUGCUUUAUCACCUUAACAGCUGGGUUGCAUUUGUUUAGCCACAGACGUAAUGACGCACGAGAAGAGUGUUGCUGUUGUCAAACUGAAACAGCCAGGCCAGCGGCUAUAAUUUACUUUUGUGGUUAGGUUAACUAGGAGUUUACUGUUAGUUUUAGUUACGUUAAAUACUUGUUACAUCAGUUACAUUAGCUGAGGGCUAAUCUUGUAGCCUAUAUAUACUGUAACACUGUCAUGUUAAUAAUUAAUGAGAAUGUUUACUUUCAGAACUCUCUGAUUUUCCACAAUCAGGCCUCUCAUUGACAAAGCUAAUUAUCUCCCCACCCCAGGUUGCAUAUGUUUUACAGGCAGUGUCCUGAUGGAAAUUUGCAAGUUUUGUUACCUUUAUAUCCUUGCUGGUUAAGUUUGGACUGUGCAGUGAAAUUGCUGGUCAAGUUUUGUUACCUUCACAUCAAUUUGGAAUGAUGUGAAAUACUAAUACAAGGUAUGGGGGAGGAAAGUAAGUUAAUUCAACGAGAAGUAAUAUUAAUAAUAGGAAACUAAUGCCAUCUUUGAUUUCUCGAUCUAUCAAUGAAGUUAAACACAAAAAGUUAAGGAUGGGAAGUAGGGAUAUGAAAAUGAGGGAUAAACUACAGUAAAUCCCCCGGGUCAUUUAUGAGUCCCUACUCGAUUUUGGGGACAUUUAUGGGUACAUACUCAACGUCGCGAAAAACUUACAAAUUGCCCCCUCUGUUAGUGAGUCUAUAAGGAAAUCCAUUAUCUGCCUACGUGGCAAAUGUGGGUUCCAUUUUUUAAUUGACGUGAACUUACAUGUGGACAAAUAAAUAAUAAAAAAUUAUAUACAUGUUAAAAAUAAUAUUAAAAUAAUAUUAAAAUCAUUAAAAAUGAAAAAAAAUAAAAUAGAAAAAGGUAAAAGGACGCAAACAGCCCCAUUCCAACCCCUCCCUUCCAGCCCAACCUCCAACCCACCCUCCCCACACCCUCCGAUUUGAACGCGUUCGAUUUGAAAGAACAAGCUCAAGCCGUUUGAACGCCCAGUUCUGUUUGAAAGAACACCUAGUUUUAUUUGAACGCGUUCGAUUUGAAAUCGUUCUCGGCCGGACUAGACCUGUCCGGGCUGUUCAAAGACCAUUCGUACGGCUCGCUGAAGGACAACGAGCGUUUCGUGUUGGAGGAGACGAUGGAGAAGGUGGAGAAGGAGAAGACGAUGCCCUCCUCCUUCCUCUGCCGCUUCUUCGUCCUUGUCGCUUGCCCAGUUAAUUGACUGAACAUCGGUAAUCCCUGACCAGCCUAGGUUGCUGGGGAGGGAAGUCCAUUCCUUGAAUUAUACUGAAAGAAUUCGGAUUCUGAUAUUUUUCUCAGCCAAGCGUUUUCUAUUUCAUAGGCAUUGACGUUUGGGAUGUGAAAUUUGAACGGCCUCGAUGCCGUGAGGCUAAUCGAAAUUUGGGAUGUGAAAUUUGAAGUUGAACUCAGCUAUGGUUUGGGGACGGCGACGACAACGACAUCGUUUUGGGGUUUGUGGUUUGGGGAAAGCGAUCAGAUCUGUGGCAUGAGGGAGGUGUUAAGGCUGGGAUGGGUGGCCUGAGUAAGCUUGGGUAGUGGUUUGGGUGGCUGUGAGCUAGGAGGAGAGGAGAUCGGGACAGAGAGAGAGAGAGAGAGAGAAUUUGGGUAGGGUUUUUUGUUUUUGUUUUUAAAUUUAAUAUAAUCAAUUUUAAAAUAAUUUUAAUGAUUUAAAAUUAGUUUUGAAAAAUAUAUAAUUUUUUAUUAUUUAUUUGUCCACCUAUAAGUCCACCUCAUUAAAAAAUGGAACCCACAUUUGCCACAUAGGUAGAUAACGGAUUUUCUGACGGACUCGCUAACGGAGGGGGCAAUCUGUAUGUUUUCCGCGACGUUAAGUAUGUACUCAUAAAUGUCCCCAAAAUUAGAUAUAAACUCGUAAAUGACUCUAUAGGUUGGGGGGUUUGCUGUAGUUUACCCUAAAAUGAAUGUGAAAAUAGGAAACUAAUCAAAAGCAAAAAAACUUAAGAAGGGAUGCAAAAGACAAUGACCAACAUUCAAAUAGGGGGAAUGGGGAAAUUUAGGGUCUAUUCAUAAUUAUUAAAAACAAAAAAUAUCUGUUUUUUUAGUUUUUUUUCUAACAACCCACAAGUUCUCAAAUUUUUAUGAUUUGAAAAUAGUUUUCAAGUUGACUACCAAACAAGUUUUUGAAUCUUAAAAAUAGAUUUAAGAACUCCUUGUUUUUAAGAAAAAUCAACGUUUUUAGAGUUCUCUAUUUGAAUAAGAUACCAAAUGGCCCCUUACUUUUUUCUUUAUCCCUCAUGUUUUAGAAAGCAAAAUUUGUUUGUAACAAAAAAAAAAGAAAAAAAAAAAGAAGAAGCAAAGUUUGCAGAUUGCUUUUUUUUUUUUUUUUUUUUUCUUGUAUCUAAUCUUUAAGAUAUUCGUAUUUUUUAAACUUUUCAAUUUAACUCUUACUAAUUUUCAAAUUUUUUAAGAGAUCGAUGAAACAUGUGGGGGUGUAGAGUGGACUAAAAUGUUCAAUUGUUUAAAAAUAAAUAAGUUUGGCAAAGUGUUUUAUUUUUAGAAGAAAAAAAAAAUCAUACGCGUAAAUUUUAUAUUAAUUAGUGAAAAAUUAAUUGUAAAUUUUUUAAUUUUUUUAAUUUUAUUGAUAAGGGUAAAAAAGGAAAGAUAAAAAAUAAAUAAAUGGCAAACACAUUCCAAAAUUUCAAAAUUGAAGCAAUUCAAAGCAGGGAACCAAAAUGGAUCCGAAAACAUUAAAACAGAAACCCAAAGGCGCCAACUUUAGUUUUCAAAGUGGCGCUCCCAUUUUACUCACUACAAAACUCUCUUCUUUCUCUUUCCCCCCUCAAAACCUUUCUCUCUCUCUAACCCAACCAAAACCUCGACACUCACAGAUUCGCUAGGGCCAUGGCGGAGAAGGAGAACUGCGCCCGGGUCACAAGGUCAAUGAAGAGGAGGGCCGAAGCUGCCAUGGGCCAAGAGCAGCCGGCCACCAAGAAACGCGUGGUCUUAGGAGAGCUCCAUAUCAUCCAAAACGCCGUCGUUCCGGCGAAUAACAAAAGUUCUGCAGUGGAGCCGCAGGUGCAGAAACGCGGAGCCAAAGCCAAGGCGAAGAAAGCGCUGCCCGAGAAGAAAACAGAGACGCCGACGACCCCGGACAUUGAUUCCACGUCGGAUGACCCUCAAAUGUGUGGGCCUUAUGCUCGUGACAUUUAUGAUUAUCUUCACAAGCUCGAGGUAAGGCUUAUCAAAUCGUAUUUAUCUUGUCUGAUAAUGGAAUUUAUUGGAAAAAUGGUAGUUGGGUAUUGCCAAAUGUAGAUUUUUAAUGCGUUCUCGUUGCUCUGAAAGUUGAAUUUAGGAUAAAGACUGAAGCGUUGUGGUGUUUAGUUAUGUUAUUUUGGGUUUUCCUCAGUAGCCAAAAGCUAAGCUUUAUUUAGCAAUUUUUGUCGUCUCUGUGUUUUGGGUUUUUGUUUGAAUUGGAAUUUGGGGUUUAUUUUUCAUAAUGGGUAGGUAUUGGUAUUUGAGAAUGGUUGGUGGCAUUAGGGUCUUGGUCUGAAGUGAAAACUGGUGCAUGAGUUUAUAGCAUUUUUUUAUUUUGAGCAAAUAGGCUAAUGGUGAUGAUGGGUUUACAUUCAGGCGGAUCCAGAUAGAAGGCCUUUACCUGAUUACAUGACAAAGGUUCAAAGGGACAUCACUUCUAAUAUGAGAGGAAUCUUAGUAGACUGGUUGGUGGAAGUUGCAGAGGAAUAUAAGCUCCUUUCCGACACUCUUUUCCUCACCGUUCUGUAUAUUGAUAGAUACCUAUCUUUGAAAGCUCUCGACCGCAAAAGGCUUCAGUUACUGGGUGUUUCUUCAAUGCUCAUUGCCUCGUAAGUCCGCAAGUGAAUGAAAUUUUUGUGUGAAUACUUUCUUACUAAUAUGAAUCCACAUAGUAAUCUUCUUGUUAAUGUGGUAAACAGAAAGUAUGAGGAGAUCAGCCCUCCACAUGUGGAACAAUUUUGUUACAUCACAGAUAAUACAUAUGAUAAGGACCAGGUGAUUUUUAUAGUUCUCUUUCUCAUCUUAGAUUGAUAUUUUCAAAUCACCCUCGCUUUUAUUAUUGUAGUACUUUAGAUGAAUACUUUUGUUCAUUGUAUGCAUUGUAUAGGUGUUAAAAAUGGAAGCUGAUAUACUCAAGGCCUUAAAGUUCAACUUGGGAAAUCCUACAAUAAAGACAAUACUAAGGUAAGGAGUAAGGGCAAUGCUUGCAUACUUUUUUGCUUGGGCACUUUUGAUCAUGUGCACUUAUGAUGCUUCGCUGUAAACAUAUCGGAUUGAUUAAUGUUCCUUCUCAUUUUGGUUUGCAGGAGAUUUGCUAGAGUGACUCAAGAGAGCUACAAAGUAUGCAAAACCUCUCUCUCACAGCCAAUUGAGCUAAAAAUGUAAUACAUACAAUAAGCUAAUUACUUGCUUUGUGCUUUUUACAGGAUCCUAAUCUGCAGUUAGAAUUUUUGGGCUACUACCUUGCAGAGUUAAGUUUGUUAGAGUACGAGUGUGUAAAGUUUUUGCCCUCAUUGGUGGCUGCGUCUGUUACAUUUCUCGCAAGAUUUAUGAUCCGGCCAAAGUCUCAUCCUUGGGUAAGAACUUGCUAGAGACUCUGUAACAUUGUUUAACAAGUAUUGAAAGAAAUUGCUGAGUUAAUCUUGUUUUCUGCAGACUCUGUCCCUGCAACAAUAUUCUGGAUACAAACCAACUGAUUUGAGGGAAUGCGUCCUUAUCAUACACGACUUGCAUCGGAGUAAAAGAGGAGCAACUUUACAAUCGAUAAGAGGAAAGUACAAAUCACAUAAGGUACUUUGGCUAAAUGUUUACCUACAGACUUUGGUUUUAUUUUCCACGCUAUAGAGAAUAGAGAUAAUGUGAAUUGUGUUGUUUUUGGAUACAGUUCAAAUGCGUGGCAACCAUAUCUUCUCCUCCAGAAGUACCGACUGACUACUUUGAAGAUCUGAAAGAAUGAUUAUUUAAGUACAAGAGGACUAGGUUUUAGCUGCAAGACGAGGGGUUUUUUUAACUCAAGUUUUUCAAGACGAAUGGUUGUGAUAUAUGCUUGGAUUAGAUAUAUAUUUUUUGUAGGGUCUCGAUCUCAAUGGUGUUGCUUAGAUAGUCCCCACUAGCGUUUAAAAUUUCUUUCACCUUGCUAGAUUAUUUGUUGAUUAUGACAGAAGUUAGGAUAGCAUUUUGAGUGCAUUUGGUUGCUUUCGCUGGGAAUGUUGAGUUGUGAAAGCUUGUAAUAUUCCUCAUUUCUCAAUCGCUGUAGAAAUGAUGUUUGUAAAUCACAGGUUCUCAUUUUUAUUUUUAACUUUUCCUGGUUUUUGUUUCACUUGCAUUGCGUUCGUAUCAGUCAAAACAUAUUAUAUUCCCUGAUCCUCAUGUGUGACCCGACUUAAUUCGUGAAUUAAUUAUAUUAAUUGAGACACCUGAAUAAAUCAACUGUUUUGAUAUCAUAUUUAAAGUAUACAAUCCAAAAUUAAUUGGUAAUCAGGGAAGAAAUUUAAGACUUAUUAUAUUGAGAUAUAAAUAUUAGAAUAUUCUAUGUUUAGAUUUUACAUUCUUAACAAAUCCUCACCUUCUUAAAUGCAGAUUGAAUUUCAAUAGCACAAGUGAAAAAUAAAAAAUAAUUUUUUUUUACUAGCACAACAUAACAUAGAAAGAAAGCUCUUCAUUGUCAUUUAAAGAUGAAUGGGAAUCUACCCCAACUGAAAAUAAUAAUAAAAUGAUAAUGAACAUAAAAGUUGAAAAUCUUACAUUCGGAAAUCCACAACACAUACUACGUUGUUAGCAAAACACGCAGCGACCUUGUCACCUUCCUUGUUCCAACAAACUUCAAAUAUCCCCCCAUUUCCUGUGUAUGUUUUUACAAUUUUGCCUUCCUUCACGGACCAUAUGUGCAUACAUUUAUCCAUAGAUCCACUGGCCAAGUACUCGCCAUCCGGGCUGAAUGCAACAGAGUAUACCGGAUCCCUAGGAUUUGCCAUACAGACAAUGUCAGUAGAUUGCGAAUCACAACUAACAUAACAGUCUCAUUUUUCAAGCAAACAAAUUAGUACCACCUCUUUGUUCUUUGUGGAAUGUAAAUCGCACCUCAUAGAUCUCAUACAGAAUUUCUUUAGAAAAACGCCAUGCAACAAACUAAAAUUAAUGAAUAUUUACCUGUGGCCAUUGAAGCUGUAGAGAAGUCUCCCUAGUUCCACGUCCCAUAGUUUUAUAGUUGAGUCAAAGGAAGCGCUGGUCCAUGUAAAAUAAGAGAAACAUAAAGAAUGUAUGAAUAACAGUAUCUGCUCUUUCAAGGCAACGACAGAAACAAACACAAGCGACCAUGCACGCACAUACACAUAUAGAAAGUACUUUACUUUACCCUUAUUUCUACACAUGUCAGAAGAAGCAGUGCAUUUACCUUGCUAGAACUAACUGUUGAUUGGGAUUAUUUGUGCCUGGUCCUGUAGGACUCCACCGGAUGGUAUAUAUCUCCUACAAAAUAAUGCAUCCAUCACAACUUACAAUCUGGGAAUAUUUUCAACAAACUCACAAAUAGAAACGAGGCACAGAUACCUUAACAUGUUCCUUCAAAUCAUGCAAAUAUUUGUCCUGCUUCGUACUCCAUAUCUGUGUUAAAAGAUACUUGAGUUUUCAGCCCAUUCAAGAAAACCACAAUAAAGAGAAACCCAUAAAACAAACUGUUCUGUACUACGGAGACACUAAUAUGUCAAUGUAACCCGGGUCAAGAAACCCAUGGUAAGAGUGCAAAAAUGUAGUGCAACAUUAUUGAUUGGAAGUUCAAAAGAAAAGCAUUCUCAAAUGUCUAGAUCACCUUUGCAGUAUAAUCAUCAGAGCAAGAAGCCAACAAAGAGCCGGUUGGAUCCCACUUAAUAGCAUUAACUUCACCCUGAAACAAUAAAAUCAGAAAGGUUGAAUAAAAAUCAUGCAGUAUCAAUCUCCUGAUGAGAUUCACCAACUGGUGAGUUCCUUUCCUCUAAGCAUUUAACUGGAUAUAUUUUAUAAUGUGAGAGCGGCAAAGGGUGGAAGAUGUUUAAUGUCAAUCCAGACCUGAGAAAUCUAUACCAGUACAAUCAAUUUUAGUGAGACCUUGAUAGAAGAAAGUGUAAAAAGAUUAUAGAUUAUUAAUUUAUUCAAUUUAUUUUGCAAGGCAAUAUCUAAACCCAAGGCUUGCUCUACCCCCCAUCCUUUACAACCUGGUCCAAGGGACAGGGGCAUGCAACUAGUAAUUUGGGGAAGCACUGACGAUACACGCAAGUAUAUGUAGCUCUCAAUACUCAUACCUCCUCAUUUUUUUUUAUAAAUUUUUUUGAAUUUUACUUUUUACACAUGUUCCCUGAUUGGAAGCAUGAAAAUCAUGAGUCAUUAAGCAUUUACAUGAGAACUGACAGAGCACAAUUCUAAUUUGUCUUUAUAUAAUAGUAAAAAUUCAUGUGUUUAAUUCAAAAAAUGAUGCAGUAACUAUAAACUAGCAAACAUGAUUGGUUUGUUGGAUUAUAGAACAAACCUGAUGCCCUGAGAAAGUUUUGAUUGGUUGGUUCUCUCCAACCUUGCAAACAUGUAUCAAAGUAUCAGUGGAGCACGUUGCAAAGGAAACAUUGUUCCGCCAAUCAACAUCCAGGGUUGGAGCUGAAAAAUAAUUUUGGCUUGCUUAACAUGGUGCAGAAGUGAAAUUUUAUCAAACACAGCCUUAAAAUAAUGCAGUACCUGAAUGAAAUUCAAACUGCUGUUUCCAUUCCCCACUCUUUAUGUCCCACACAAUUGCGGUUUUAUCCACACUGCCACUCAGAAGAUAAUCACCUUUCUUGUUCCACUUCAGAGAAAAGAUUGGACCUUUAUGUUUGAUUAAUGUAGUCCUUAACUCUCCUAUAUAAAAAUCCCACAGUAAAAGUUAACAAAAACCUAGGACUAAGUGCAAGCUGUUUAAAAUCUAUCAAUCACUAGACUUCAACAGCAAACAUGUUGCAGAUAUAAACAUAACUCACCAUCUCUACUCCAUAUUCUUGCUUGGCCAUCGUAAGAACCUGUUGCAAGCAAUGUCCCAUCACCCUACAAAAUGGCAAAUCCUUUAGCAAAAACAUAAUGCGAGAAAGUCAUGUCAGAGUUUUCAACUACAGAACGUGAUAAAGACUCACAUUCCAAUCAAGUGUGGUCACGUCCUUGCUUUUCUCAUUGGCUCUACCUUUGAAAUGCUUUAAAACCGCAACAUUUGCAGGCUCAUUUUGCAUGCCAGAUCCACAACCUCCAUCUGCAAUGGUCCAAAUUCGCGCUGUUGAAUCUCCAGACCUAGACAAGGAAAUACAAGUGAAAAUAAGAUGAUCUUCCAUGUUUCUGACACCUUUUAUCGUACAAAGUAAUAUCCCAACUCCAGCUACUUUGUGAGAUAGAUGACAAAAAAUAUAAAUCACCUGAUGCUAAAAUGCCCAGGUAUAAAAGACAACAUACUCACCCAGAUGCAAGAAGUGAACCCGAUGGACUCCAUGCACAAGCAAAAACCUGUCAGAAGUGGAGGAACAAGUUCAUGCAAUCACACUCUACCAACUGAUAAUGGGAGGAAAAUGUACAAUGCAAGGAUAUAUCCAAUCCAAACCUCUGAGGUAUGGCCUUCUAGAACUGUUACGUCAGAGCUAGGAAUUUCACUAGGCAAGGAUAUUGAGCUUGGAGUUAUUUCCAUUGGUUCCACCCCUAUUUCACAUAUUUACAGACAACUUAAACUUUACAAUUGGGAAGCUAACAUAUGGCCAAAGUUCAACGUCUUUAUAAACAGAAACGAAAUUGAGGGCAAAUUACCUCCACAAGUUCCAUUUUCUUCUGGUUCCAUUUUCUCAAUCUCAUUGUGAUCCUCGUGUGUUUCUUCAUUCUCUUUAUCAAUUUCUUGUUCCCUCUCCUUGUGCGACUUGUCCUCCCGAUCCUCUUCUUCUUCCUUUUCCCUAUCUCUUCUUUCCUCCUCUACUUCUCGAGCAUUUUCCCUUUCACUUUCCUCCUUGCUCUCAUUUUUCUGGUUAGCUGCGUUCAUCCUGUCCUUCUUCUCCCUGACCAUUUUCUGUAAUUGAUAAGCAUCUUUCGUGAUAAGAUCCAACGGUUGCAGAAACGAAAAGUCGUCGUCCAUGUCCGCAUCACUCUGUAAACCUAACACACACAUCAAUCAGCCCAAGCUUCCAACUUUCAAACUUCAAAGCAUGUAUUAAUUAAGAAAAUUAAACACUUUGCUUACACUGCUGCUCAAGUCUGCUUCCAGCUCAAGAUAUUGAAGCCCUUUCUGGAUAAACGUAACAAGUGCGCCUGGCGGAACUACAUUACCGUCAAUCGUGCUUUUGUGAAGCUCGGCCUCGUAUCCAAAGGCGUAAGCUGAAUGCGUAAAGCCUGAAGAAAUUAAGAAAUUAAUUAGAGUUUCAUAACAAUUUCUAGCCAGAAAAUGAUUAAUUUUGCAAGCGUUAAACAGGCAAAUGGAACGGACCUGAUUCGUGGAGGUAACGGAAGACUAGGUAGUUCAAUUCGUUGGAGGUGAGGGAGAUCAUCGUCGUCGUCAACGUUGAAGCUCCAAACCCUAGGGUUCAGGUGUCUAUCGCCGAGCCAGAAGCCUAAAGCCACCGCCGUACUUCUUACUUACUUCCCAGGCAGAGAGAGAGAGAGACGUUGGCCGCUGGGCUAUGUGUAAAAUUUGUAACGUCUUUAACGGUGGUUAAUAAAUAGGAGCGUAUCUGGCGCGGUUGGGCGCUUUGCUAGACAGUUCUUAAGUGGCGGCGGCCGGCGCCCUUUUACUCGGCUUGGGCCCGCCUUCUGAUUACAAACUAUUCGGGCCGAAUUAAGUCCGAGUUUAAGGUUUUGGAUUGGGCUAAAUUUAUAGGAUCCUUUUCCAGUUGGCCCAAACUGGAAGUUUGAAAGGAGGCUCAUUUUUAACCACCAAAUAAGGAGUUUGGUUUUACUUUAUUUUUAUUUUUUAUUUAUUAAAGAGAAACUUCAUUAGAUAACCUUUAACAAUGUAAGCAAAUAUCAACAUGAUAUCUAAAACAUCAAUCCCACAAGAGCAACAAACUAACAUAUUAAAAACAAUACUAAAGCAGACAAAUUCGCACUAAAAGUACUGGCAAAUAGGGGUGGGUACAAUUCGGUUUGGACCGAUUUUUGCCUCAAAUUAGAACCGAUAUGAUACUAUUCAUCCGAUUUGGUUCGGUUCGAUUUUAAUAAAAAAAAUAUAAAAACUGUCUGGUUCGAUUUGAACUGAUUUUGGUCCGAUUUUGGUUCCGGUUUAAUUUUGAACCGGAUUAUAAAAAUUAUUAUUUUAAAUUAUUAUUUAAUACAAUUCUCAAAUGAAAUAUUAUUAUUUUACUUGAAAAUUAACAGAUUAUUCAAUUUUAUAUAAAAAUAAAUAUUAAAGUUAGAAAAGAGAGAUAUUUUGAAAUUGAACUUAGAUAAAUAUUAGUUUUUUUUAGUAAAAUUAAAAAUAUAGCAUUGAAUAUAAAUAUAUUGAAAUUAUAUAUAUUUUUUAAUUUGACCGUUCGGUUCGGCCCAGUUCGGUUUUUGAAGACAUGGAACUGGAUUCAGAACCGGUCCAAAUCGAUCCGGUUCGAUUUUUUUUCAAUUUGGUUCGAUGCGGUUCGGCUCGAAUUUUCGGUUCGCUGGUUUGAGUGCCCACCCCUACUCGCAAACAUCACCAAGCAUAAUUUUAAACAAAGUCAAUACACACCACAUAACUGAAACCAUAAAGCAACCCAAAAGCCUAAAUUAACCAUACCAUCACUACCUGAAGAAGCGUCAUCGUAGCCACACCCCUCACCACAUAAAAUCUUGAAGCGAUAACAAAUCUAGAGAAAGCAUGGUUUCCAACUAUCUACCUUGGCAUAAGAUAUAACAAAUAAAACAAAACAACAACCUUGACAAAGAAGAAUUUGAUGAUUUCCAACAAACUAUGUCAAAUACGAUAUAAAACUAAUUUUAGAGAACAUAACAAUGUUAGAUAGCUAUUUUUGGGAGAAUAAUUUGAUUGAGAACAUAGUUUGAAAGAGGUGAUGGGGAACUUCAAUAUGAACAUGGCUUAGAAGAAAUCACCACAAAGGGCUUCUUAUUCAAAACGUUCCGGUGGACUUAUUCACUACCCAAAAAAAAAGAAGGUAAGAAGUGAUGAGGGAGAGGAGGAAUAGUGACGCUUCUUCCUUCUCCUCCCUUUAUGGAGUUUUUCUUUGAGAUUGACAAAGAAGGAAAACGACUAAGGUAUUGUUUUCUCUCUCUCCAACCUAAUUAUAAUUGUAAAUUAAUUAGAGUUUGGUUUUACUUAAUACUCAAAUUUCAGAAGCAAAAUCUACUGAGGUAUUGAACUUUAUAAAAUAAAAUUAAAAAUUAAAAAAAAAAACUUGACUGGAUCAUUUAAAUUCCAAAUCGGUAUAAAUUUUAAAAGUGAAGGCCAACUAUUUAUGCAUACAUGGGAAAUACUUAAGUGCAUCCAAUUGUUUGUUAGCCACUUUUGUGAUCAUUAAAUUUUCACCAUAGACAUAAACAUGGACAUGUCAUAAUUGGAAUUAUUAUUUCCUAAAUUAAAAGGUCAUAUCUAAAAAAUAAGAUAAUAAAAAUUGGUGAUCUCUUGGUCAUUCAUGUGUAUCUGACAAAUGGAUAGUUGGUUGAUCUUAAUAGUGACCAAAAUUGUUGAUUUGUUUGAUAUUUGUGCAUAUUAUUUAACAUCCAAUUUUAUUGAAUUUUUGUACAUAUGACAUUUUUUUUUGUUGAGAAAUUCUCAAAUUGCAUUCAUAAUUUAGUCAAAAAAACCACUAGUUAUAAAGGGUCAAUACAAACUAGCCACAAAGGCUAUUACAAUAACAGAGCGAUCUAACAUCAAAAUUAAGACUAUGAGGCCCCUCCACUAACAAUCACACAUGAUCUAAAAAAUUAUGGUAUAGACAUCCCAACUAAGAGUGCAAACUAUAAAAAAGAAAAAGACAAAAAAAAAAAAGAAAAAGAAAAAGCUUGAAAAUACCAAACUAUAACAAGACAAAUAAAACUCUCAUAAAGAAAAUGUAAAAAACUCUCACAAAUGAGAGGUGAAAUACUCUCACAAAAAGAUAGGUGAAAACUAUAUAGAAAACUCAAAGAGUCACUGUGAUUUAUUCUAAUCAUGAAGAAAUCACAAAAAAAGAUGAUGGUAGAGAUUCAACACCGAAAUGCGGUUGGAGAUUCGACACUGAGGUGCAUCUAUUUGUGAUGAGUGGAUGAAAAUCAUUACAAAAUAAAGACAAAUAAGAGAAACCUUAUUUCUCUAAGAAAAAGGAAAAAUGGAGAGAAAGGAAGAGAGGAGGGGAGGAAGGACAGCGGCUUCCUCCCCCCUCAAAGUAAAAACGAGUGUAGAGUGUUUUUUGAGGAGGGAGAAGGCUAGAGUUUUCGUUUUGACAUUUAAAUUGUGAUUUUUGAAAUGAACAAUUUCGAUUAUGACUUGUUUUGUUGAUUCAAGUAGAUUUGCACACUCCUUUAAUUUAUGCUCUUAUAUUCUAGUCCAGUAGAUUGGUACCAAACAUUCUUUGAAAUCUGGAUCAUAUUAAUUGGAUUUCCCAUGUCUCAAAUCUCAACAUCAAGAGCCAAUCGAGCAUGAUCUGUGUAGACAAGUCUUGUUUCAAAGUCCUAUCCCAGAAUUUCAAGACGUACGCUUUUCAUGCAUGGCAUCAUGGCAUGGCUGAUUGAUACGCGCGAAGACAGAAAAAUCACCAGUCACUGUGCGCAUAAGACACUCAAAAGCUUGGAUGAAUAAAUGGAAAGAAGAGAAGAUAAAAAAGAAAGAGAAAAAAAAAACACAUCGGGAAGGCGCUCAGGGCGCUCAGGCUCAGGGCUCCUCACGCAUGAUUUGACCACUGAAAUCGUGUACUUUAAGAAAAGGCACAAAAAUGUCUGGUUCUUACUUUAAAAGAUUGUAUUAUUAUUAUUGUGUAGUUCCUUAUUCUUAUCACAACCUUUUGCAUGAAGAAGGAAAGUCCUAGUCUUUGGAAGCAUAUGAUUUCACGCGGUUUUCAAUGUGGCUAAAAGCAACAGAUAUUUCCAGGCCUAGAUUAAGCAGGCUAUCUAUCGAAGCAUAACCUUGACUCUUCCUUCCAAAGCCGACAAGCACAACCAGGACAAAAGAAAUUUGCACAAGAGCCAACAUCUCUAUACCACUCUAUUCAUCUUUAAAGUGUAAAAAGCAAAACAUGAAAAAGAGUUCUCGUGAAGCACAAAGAAUAUUAUUUAAAAAGCAAACAGAAAAAAUGUGUUCUCGUGGGAAGUGUCCCUUGUUUGCAGGGUGUACUCAAUUGCACCACAUCACCUUUUUCCCUCUCUCUCUCUCUCUCUCUCUCUCUCUCUCUCUCACACACACACACACUUUCAAACAAAGCCAUGUGUGUGCCUGCCUGCCUUUUCAAACAACCCCCAUCAAAUCCCCUCCUCUCUCUUUCUUUCUUUCAGCUUUGUUCUUGUCUGGCUUCAACCUGAAGCCACAACCCAAGUUCAGCAAUAUGCAAUUUCAGAACCUUGUGUUAAUGGUGUUGGUUUUUUUCUCAAUGCUGGUCUCUGGGUACAAGGAAAACACGAUGCCACUAUCUGUACCCAAUAAUGUGGAGCAAAACCAACAAGAACAUGAGGAUGAUAUGAAUAAGCGGCCACAGCAGCAGCAGCAGCAGCAGCAGCAGCGGUUGAGGCACUCAUUUGAGGCCUUCUUUUCAAGCAAGAGGAAAGUUCCAAACGCUUCUGACCCGCUCCAUAAUCGUUGACAAGGAAGUAAUGUGAAAACCAGAUGUUGAAGCACUCAUUUUGUCAACUUCUUCUGGCUUAGUAAGUAACUAGUUCCUGUUAACUUCUUUGUUCAAUAUUAUCUAUUUUGUAGUUUCUAUGCCAUACCAGCCAAAUCAAUGUAUAAAUUUAACAUUAGUCCCCCUCCUCUCCUCUCUUCAAAAAAACAAAUCCUGAAUCUGACCUGAAAGUGCCUAAUAUUCUUUUAGUAGCCACGAUUUUGCCAUACAUUUAAUUGAAUUGUCUUUUGUGGUUGCAUAACUCGCAGUGCAUUUGUUUUUGCUCCAUAUUUUAACAAGGAAAUUACUGUAUGAGUAUGAAGGUGCAAUGUGCUCGCCCCAUUGUACCGAGUUCGAUUCCCUAUCUGUACAUUAGAUUAGUUAGAAUAUCGUUUUGUCAAAGGCCAAAAAAAAAAAAAAAAAAAACAGAGAGAGGGAAAAGAACCAAAAUGGGCUUUGGAAUUCCAGGUGUAGUUUUUACAUUGAAGCCAGCGUGAAUGGUCUUGGUUUACACAUAGCCUCCAAGGGCUUAACCCUUGGCAUCAUAAGACCCAAGCCUUCACUCAUAUCCACCAUGUCCUCCCCAAUCCUCUCCCACUCAAAUGACUGAACCAAGCUUCCAAGAGCCAGUUCAACCAACCUGUUUGCUAAGCCAGCCCCAGGACAUCCGCGCCUUCCAGCCCCAAACGGGAUUUAGCCUAUAUCCUCCUUCAAGCCCUCCUUCACCAAUCCAUCUUUCAAUCCUCUCUGGCUUAAACUUUGUGGGGUCCUCCCACACCUCAGGGUCCCUAUGGAUGGCCCACGCAUUCACCACCCGCAUUGUAUGACGUGGCACGUCAAAUCCCCCCACCACAAAGUCCUCAGAGUCUUCACGAGGCACCAGAAUUGGAAAAGGCGGGUACAAGCGGAGUGUCUCACAUUGAACAUUUUGCAAGUUACACAGCUUUGGCAAGUCUUGCCCUUCCAACGCACGCUUUUCUCCAAUCUUGGUCUCUAUCUCAUCUCUCACUUCGCCAUUGCCCAUUCUAGGGUUGUUGAUGACGUGUCACUCCCAGCAACCAGCAACCAGCAACACCUACAAUCAGUCCACAUUUAACUACCUAACGGUCACCUCCAAAAGAACACAAAAACUAAAAACAAAGAAGUGUGAGUUACCAAAAUGAUUCCUUUGAUUAUUUCGUCGGUGUAGAAUUCGGGCUCUGUUUGUUGCUGUUGGAAUAUAGUAGGUGUAUGAUGAGCGUAUGUGAUGCUCUGAUACCACUGUUAGAAUUGAAAGGGAAAAACAAAGUGAUUUUAUUAUAUUUGAAGGAGAAUAAUACAUGGCUCAAUUUAGGCUAAUUGUCCUUCUACACUUAGCAUAUUGACUUAUUGGCCACUACACUUGAUUUAGAAUAGUUUUGGGCUAGUUGGCCCUUCACUUAGAUUAAUUUGGGCUAUUUGGCCCUUACAUUUUGAUUGGUGAGCUUAUUGGCUCUCAACAUAGUUAACUUUAGGUAGCUCUUGGCUCCCUAAUAGUUUGGGAGUUGAUUGGUUCUACUCCAUAUAGAUUGGGAGUUCUAUUGGUUGACUCCACUUGGCUUUAUUGCAUUGCAUGCCUAUUUAUAGGCAUGCUUUGCCGACAUUACCAAGUCCACCGACUUGGUCUCUUGCUCCAGCUACAUGUAUGUGGCUUUGCCUAGAAACUUCUAUAUUUUACAAUAUUAUUUUUG